GGUGCUGUGGCUUAGUUGGUUAAAGCGCCUGUCUAGUAAACAGGAGAUCCUGGGUUCAAUUCCCAGCAGUGCCG
rnacentral:tRNA from 1 species